UACAGAGGUCCCAAGCGUUGUUCGGAUUCACUGGGCGUAAAGGGCGCGUAGGUGGUGAGGUAAGUCGGAUGUGAAAGCUCCGAGCUCAACUCGGAAAUGGCAUUGGAAACUACCUUGCUAGAGGGUUUGAGGGGGGACUGGAAUACUUGGUGUAGCAGUGAAAUGCGUAGAUAUCAAGUGGAACACCAGUGGCGAAGGCGAGUCCCUGGAAAACUCCUGACACUGAGGCACGAAAGCUAGGGGAGCAAACAGG
rnacentral:rRNA from 1 species